AGUGCAUUUAUCUCCACUUUGGCCAGAAGUAUACGAUCUUCUAGAACUGGAUUUAGGGUACUUGUGGACUACCUGACCUGUAUCCCAAGAACCAAAUGCAGGUCCUCUGCAGAAAUCAUAGACAUUGUGGACUCCAAGCUCCUCAGCCUGGACCCAGUGUGCUUUGAAGUGUCUGUUGUAUCAUCAACUCCUCUUGAACCUGAUUUUCUUGGUGUGUUGGUUCACAGUGAAUGCUGAGAUCAGGGGAGAGGAAGGCUGUCCUUUUCAAUGAAUAGUUCUUACUGUCUGUGAGCCUUUGUUUGCAGUUGAUCCCUGUCAACAUGAUCUGACUCACAGUUUGCAUCUACUGCUUUAGAAGGUAUUUCAUUGUCUUCCCAAGCAUUAAAUGUGCUUGACUAGGUUGUCUGACAUUUUUUUUUUACUUUUUAUUAUAUUUAUUAAUUCGUGACUGUGACAACUACCCCACUUUCCAAGAAAGUUUUCUCUUGAUACUGCUACAGUGUGCUGCAGUAUCAUGGUAAGGGGCUGUAAGUGGCAUGAAACAUAAGGAGCACAAUUUUUAACUGCAAACCAUGAUGGUGUGUAAUGAUUAAAUGAAAAUAUUUGUUAUGGAUGGUCAGAUGAAGAUUCCAAAAUAUCAUAUUUAAGGUAUUUUCAAUUGUUUCUCCUGUCUUCUUGCAGUAUUUGUGGCUAUAAACAUUGUCUUGUGCAUGAUUUUAAAUGUCCCAUUUUUAAUUCCUCAUUGCAAUUUUGGUUCCAGUCAUAUCAUGAAUGGAGUGAUCAUGGAGCAGGACCAGCUGGCCUGCUCCUGUAUUGAUGAGAACUUCACAACUAACUAUAAGAUGUUGGCCACCCUGGUUGAAGGGAACUUUUUAGAGGUCUAACUGGAUUUCCAUGUCCCCACACUGAUCUGUGUGGCUGUAAACAUUUUCCAAAACGUCAAGAUAUAUGUCUUGCUUUUCUGCAGGAAAAUCAGCAAUGUGAAAUCACUUGACCAUCCUAACUUUAUCAACCUGUUUCACAUGGUCAGACAAGAGAAAACACCUACCAGUUGAAGGAUAAUGCCUCGGAUGGAGAGACACUAGAACAAGUCAUUGAAGAGACAUAAAGACCAGCAAGCUGUUAAUCGACAGCAGUAGGAACGCCAAGCUGUGUGAUUUUGGCCUGGGCAGAAGCUAGCAGAUUUCUGGGACACACUUCCUUACAGUGCCCCAGAAUUUUAGCAAGCACAGGAACAUGAGAGCUGCCCUGUGGAUAUCUGGAGUUUAGGGGUCCUCCUGUUCUUCAAGGUGGCCAGGAUCUCACCUUUCUGAGGCAAAUAUUUUGCAGGUGUGAAACUGCAGAUUAUCAAGCACCACAAACAUUAGCAUUCCUUUUUAUGU
rnacentral:sRNA from 1 species